rnacentral:lncRNA from 12 species
AUGUUUAUAAAGAAAAUGAGAACUGGUAUAUCUCCGGGACACAAAUCCACAUUUGUUCUCUUGUCUUGCAUUAUUCUUGAUGAAGAGAGUUCUACCCCUGUGGCUGAAACCCAGAGUACCUUAGUUUUGCCUGUAACUGGUGCAGAGACUGUGUGCUAUACUGGAAAGCUUAAACAAUGUGUCAGGUAUUGAAUUCAUAUCUUAAAUCCACUUUCCAUCAAUAAUAUACUUUUAUUUUGAACGACAUCAUCCAAUAUCCAUUACUUCAUGGGUUCUGAUUUGGAGAGGGGAAGAAAGAGAUAGUAUUGAAUACUGACUGCAGUUAUGAAUAUUCCAGCUACUUACUAUGCUGUAGAUUGGAUAUGCUUCAUUGUAGUAUAUGCAUAAUGUACCUCCUCUCACUGUGUGAACUUUUCUGUCCUAAUAAGGGGCUCUCUACAUUACAAGAUUUUAUUAUUAUUAUUAUUAUUAUUAUUAUUAUUAUUACCUCCCUGAGAAUUUUUCUAUUAUCCCUGUAAUACUGGGUUAGGUACCUCUCCUGAUUACACACAGAAUACUGUAAUUGAGAAUUUGUCCCACAACAUUUUCAUUGACUCUUUACUACUUCUAGUGUCUACUUCUAGUUCUGGAGUUUUUUGUUGGUGCUGACUUUUCUUAUUGAACAUUAUAAUACCAACAAGCAAUUAUGUAAACAGGCAUCAGACAAUUACAAGAGAAAUGUAUUUUAAAAAAGGGAUUAAAACAAUAGGUUGUUAAAUAGGUAGUUGAAGAUACUUUUAGUCUGCAGAGUACUUUCUCAUACAUUAUCAACUUGCACCUUUAUAAUAGCUCUUUUCAAAGAGUAAAAUGUUUGUGAUCCCCUUUUUAAAUAUAAAGACGCCAUGUUUGUCAAAUUUUAAAAUUCAAGAUACCAUGCAUUUUAAUAACCGGGUUUUAUAAAUAUUGUUAGUUAGCUUUUGGUGUAUUGAAAAGUACUUUUAAAGUUACUGAUUCAAUGAAGUGUGUGUUGAUGAUUCUAUAGGUCUGCAAUUUGGGCAAGGCUCAGCUGAAGCAUUUCAUCUCUGUAUCAUAUGGUGUCAACUGAGAUCACUCAUGCAUUUGUGGUUAAGGGGUAGGCUUGUGGGGGGCUGGUUGGUCUAGGAUGGCCUAAUUUACAUCUCUGGAAAUUGCCUUAAGCUGUCAGCUAAACCAC